GAUGAACGCUGGCGGCGUGCUUAACACAUGCAAGUCGAACGGAAAGGCUCCUGCUUGCAGGGGUACUCGAGUGGCGAACGGGUGAGUAACACGUGUGUGAUCUGCCCUGCACUUCGGGAUAAGCCUGGGAAACUGGGUCUAAUACCGGAUAGGACCACAUUUUGGAUGGUGUGGUGGAAAGUUUUUCGGUGUGGGAUGAGCUCGCGGCCUAUCAGCUUGUUGGUGGGGUAAUGGCCUACCAAGGCGUCGACGGGUAGCCGGCCUGAGAGGGUGUACGGCCACAAUGGGACUGAGAUACGGCACAGACGGCAACGGGAGGCAGCAGUGGGGAAUAGUGCACAAUGGGCGCAAGCCUGAUGCAGGGACGCGGCGUGGGGGAUGACGGCCGUCGGGUUGUAAACUGCUUUCGCUAGGGACGAAGCGAAAGUGACGGUAACUGGAGAAGAAGCACCGGCUAACUACGUG
rnacentral:rRNA from 1 species